CCUACGGGAGGCAGCAGUGGGGAAUAUUGCACAAUGGCGGGAACCCUGAUGCAGCGACGCCGCGUGAGUGAAGAAGUAUUUAGGUAUGUAAAGCUCUAUCAGCAGGGAAGAAAAUGACGGUACCUGACUAAGAAGCCCCGGCUAACUACGUGCCAGCAGCCGCGGUAAUACGUAGGGGGCAAGCGUUAUCCGGAUUUACUGGGUGUAAAGGGAGCGUAGACGGUUGGGCAAGUCUGAUGUGAAAGCCCAAGGCUCAACCACGGGACUGCAUUUGAAACUGUAAUGCUAGAGUGCAGUAGAGGUAGGCGGAAUUCCUAGUGUAGCGGUGAAAUGCGUAGAUAUUAGGAGGAACACCAGUGGCGAAGGCGGCUUACUGGACUAUGACUGACGUUGAGGCUCGAAGGCGUGGGGAGCAAACAGGAUUAGAUACCCCUGUAGUC
rnacentral:rRNA from 1 species